CGCUCUGCUGGAGCGGUCCAAACCUCAAUACGGCGAGCUGAGGCUUCAAACGCCGGCUGAGGAAAUUUGGAGGAAGCGGGGUUUGAGUGCGGCCAGAUCGGGGGAUUCCCGGGGUGGCGGGGACUUGAUGGAAACCCCCGCGCGGUCUGAUCCUGCGGCGGAAGCAGACCGCCCGGGAACUUUGACAAGCCGCGAGGGUCAGGAGCCGUGCCGGCGAGCUGGAAGGGCAGGCGGACGCCGGCCACCAGCAAGGGGAAUCUGCCGAGAACUGUCUAAAGGGCCCCAGGUGGUUCUUUGCCGGAAUGAAAGCUACCUGACACGUGGCAUGUGAGAUUCUGCUUGGCUGCCUGUACAGCCAGAGCCCUGCGGUUCAGAGAGGGCUUCAUAUGGAGUGGGAAGAAUGAGAGCACCAAGGUGCAGCACUAUUGCCUACAGCUCUGCCAACAACCAUGGGUCCCGCAUGGCUGCCUUUCUGCUGGGUUCUGGAAAGACAAGGGAAGGGUGAGGGGAGGAAAACCAUAGGACACAGAAGAGGCUGAUUUGGAGCAGAGAGAGCAUCCAGAUGUGGGGGUGACAGAUGGAAUCGGCAGGGAAGGAUUUGUUCUCGGGAUCCUUAAGAAAUUGCUGUAUCCACCCAACUUUCAGCAACCAAGACAACCAGUCAGCAGCCUUCAACAUCCAGGCAAAACCUAUGAGCAAAAAGAUGACUGAAGACUCCAACAGUGAUCAGCAACUUUCAACAUUGAACUACUUUAAAAUUGAGGCAUUAUAGUAAUUACUUGAUUCUCUGUGAAAAAAUACCUGGCCAAUGCAACUUAAGUGGGGGAGGUUUGUUUUGUCUCACAGCUAGAGGGCACAGUCCAUAAUGUCAGAGACGGUGGCAGGAUGGCAGCAGGAGAAGAAGAUGCAGGUCAUAUUGCAGUCACAUCCAGGAAGCAGAGAGAGAGAGAGAUGAUGAUGACCGUGCUUUGCUCACAUUCUCCUGUUUUAUUUUGUUUUGUUUUAAUUUACUCCAGGAUCCCAACACAGGGAAUAGAACAGACCACAUUUAGGGUAGUCUUUCCAACUCAGCCAGCCUAAUCUGGAGAACACCUCAUGGGCAUGUCUGGUGUUCAUUUUAAAUCCCAUCAAUCAAGAUUAACCAUUACUGUUUUGUCUAUUUCUUAUUUCAGACACAAUGAACUGACACACUUGUGUAAACAUGACUCUUACUUGCACUUAGAAACAAAAGAGAGUUUCAGAACUUGCAUUAGGCAAUAUUAACAUGAAUAAUUUUAAUGAGGUGGUUUGAAACCAAACCUGCAAUAUCUGAUGUAUUCUUCCAUUAAAUAACAACUGAUAAAUAUUUUUUAAAGUACAAAGAUGUCUAAGUUUUCUCCACUGUCUUGAAUUUUCUCAAGGGGUAAAAUGAUGACAAUGGCAUCACGAGAUUAUUUUGAGGGUGAAAUGGAAAGACCCAUAUACAUCACACAACACUGGAAGUGACAAGGGAGAGUGCAGAUUUCCAUAACUGCUGUCACCAAAGUUAUAUUCAUUGAUAAACAUCUAGAAUUUUUCUGUAGAGUUUUAAAUUCAUAAAUUCUAUUCCAAUGCAAUAUAUGAAAAGACAAGUACAGGCAAAUCAUUUCAAGCAGCUUUGAAAAAUUUUCAUUUUCAGAGUUGGUCUUUUUUUGAGUUUAAGUCUUUUAGAACAUAUUUGCCUCAGAGACAUUGGUUUUGGGGAAUUUUCUUUUCUUCUUGCAAUGUUGCUGUUACAUCAGGAAUGUUGGAAAGAAGCGAUGAGCAUAUCUGAAAUGUGCCCCUCUGCUGAACUCAAAGUUUCUUUCAGUUCACAGACACCUACUCUCCUUGUGCUUGCUCUGUCUUACCAGAAAGUGCCAAUGGAAGGUUGCCAAGCAACCACAUUUGUAUUCUUUCCUCAAGUCCUGCUAUUUGCAUUCUUAAUUUUUUUAAAAAUUAUAAUAUAAUUACAUCAUUUCCACCUUCCCUUUCCUCCCUUCAAAUCCUCCGUCCAUGUAGCCCCAUCUUGCUCGCUUUCAAAUUCGUGGCCUCUUUCCUUAAUAAGUGCUGUGUGUGUGUGUGUG